rnacentral:pre_miRNA from 1 species
AGUCUCAGAGUGUUUACAUGAAGCACAAGAGAUUGGAUUGCAGCCAAGGAUGACUUGCCGGCAUUUACAGUACUCUUGCUUUAUGCAGUUGAGGUUUGCCGGCAAGUUGUCUUUGGCUACAUUUUGCUCUCUUCUUCUCAUGUCAGCCUCUGAGACU